GGGUGCGAUCAUACCAGCACUAAUGCACCGGAUCCCAUCAGAACUUCACAGUCAAGCAUGCUUGGGCGAGAGUAGUACUAGGAUGGAUGACCUCUUGGAAAGUUCUUAUGUUGCACCCC